rnacentral:tRNA from 1 species
UCCAGGGGCGGGAAACGAACCCACAACCUUCUGCUUACCGGGCAGGUGCCAUGUCCACUAGGCUG